rnacentral:sRNA from 1 species
GCACAACUACCUGGGUCUGACCAAUGAGCUCUUCAGCCACGAGAUCCAGCCCCUGCGUCUGUUCCCCAGCCCUGGCCUCCCAACUCGCACCAGCCCUGUGCGGGGCUCCAAGAGAAUGGUCAGCACCUCAGCUACGGACGAGCCCAGGGAGACCCCAGGCCGGCCACCCGAUCCCACCGGGGCCCCGCUGCCUGGACCUACAGGGGACCCUGUGAAGCCCACAUCCCUGGAAACCCCCUCGGCCCCUCUGCUGAGCCGCUGCGUCUCCAUGCCAGGGGACAUCUCAGGCUUGCAGGGUGGCCCCCGCUCCGACUUCGACAUGGCCUAUGAGCGUGGCCGGAUCUCCGUGUCCCUGCAGGAAGAGGCCUCCGGGGGGUCCCUGGCAGCCCCCGCUCGGACCCCCACUCAGGAGCCUCGUGAGCAGCCGGCAGGCGCCUGUGAAUACAGCUACUGUGAGGAUGAGUCGGCCACUGGUGGCUGCCCUUUCGGGCCCUACCAGGGCCGCCAGACCAGCAGCAUCUUCGAGGCAGCAAAGCAGGAGCUGGCCAAGCUGAUGCGGAUUGAGGUGGGCAGCCGAGGGGAGCUGGGCACAGGGCGCAAGGGAGGCCUGGCUGCGCCCAUCUCAACCCCCCUACCUCCCCAGGACCCCUCCCUCCUGAACAGCCGAGUCUUGCUGCACCACGCCAAAGCCGGCACCAUCAUUGCCCGCCAGGGAGACCAGGACGUGAGCCUGCACUUCGUGCUCUGGGGCUGCCUGCACGUGUACCAGCGCAUGAUCGACAAGGCGGAGGACGUGUGCCUGUUCGUAGCGCAGCCGGGGGAACUGGUGGGGCAGCUGGCGGUGCUCACUGGCGAACCUCUCAUCUUCACACUGCGAGCCCAACGCGACUGCACCUUCCUGCGGAUCUCCAAGUCCGACUUCUAUGAGAUCAUGCGCGCACAGCCCAGUGUGGUGCUGAGUGCGGCGCACACGGUGGCAGCCAGGAUGUCGCCCUUCGUGCGCCA